UGGGGAAUAUUGCACAAUGGGCGGAAGCCUGAUGCAGCAACGCCGCAUGCGGGAUGGAGGCCUUCGGGUUGUAAACCGCUUUCACUGCCGACGAAUGUGACGGUAGGCGGAGAAGAUGCACCGGCUAACUACGUGCCAGCAGCCGCGGUGAUACGUAGGGUGCGAGCGUUGUCCGGAUUUAUUGGGCGUAAAGAGCUCGUAGGUGGUUUGUUGCGUCGGAAGUGAAAACCUGCCGCUUAACGAUGGGCUUGCUUUCGAUACGGGCAGGCUUGAGGGAGGUAGGGGAGAACGGAAUUCCUGGUGGAGCGGUGGAAUGCGCAGAUAUCAGGAGGAACACCGGUGGCGAAGGCGUUUCUCUGGACCUUUCCUGACGCUGAGGAGCGAAAGCGUGGGGAGCAAACAG
rnacentral:rRNA from 1 species